rnacentral:lncRNA from 1 species
AGACACAUGCAUAGAGUAUUAAAUAUAGAUAAAAAUAAAAACUACUUGCACAGUUUGGUCGAAAUUAACGAGACGAAUCUUUUGAGUCUAGUUAGUGUAUGAUUGGACAAUAAUUACCACAAACAAACGAAAGUGCUAUAGUGUCGAGAAAUUUUUUCCUAAACAAGACGGGUUAAACCGCAAAAACCGACGCCGUCUUGCUGUUGGCCGGGUCGCUUCAAAUCAAACCUCGCGUCUCCACUCUCCUCCCCUGUUCCGCAUCAUAUCGAGGGGGACGAGGCGUGGCGACUGGGGAAAUCCCAGAUUCGGCUGCCCCCCGCCGGCUCGGCUCCUGCCUCCUCCCCGUGACCGUGACAGGCCACCACCGCGCCGCGCCGCGCCGCGGCCGCGGCCGCGGGCUCCUCACCCGCUGGCCCCACCAGACCAGUGAGACGACGGCCGUGGGCCUCUCCGCUGCGGCGCUCCGGCCGUUGGUGGGGCCCCGACCCGUCCCGUCCUGGGGCAGGGCGCUGAUACGGGUGGCGGAGGCCGUUUCGGGAAAAGGGGAAAAAGAAAAAAAAACGGAGGGCCCCGCGGCGCCGAGCAGGUCCCAACUUCCGAGGGAUGGAUGACGAGGGGAGUGAGGCCAGGGUCGGUUGGUUGGCUAGCGGAAAUAAUGAGGCGCCUGACCUCCUCCGCCUGCUGCGCGCCUCGUCGUCGUGUGCUUGACAUCAUGGAUUGGAG